rnacentral:tRNA from 1 species
GCUUUGGUAGUAUAAUGGUUAAGCACUUGGCUGCUAACCAAAAGGGUGGUGGUUUGAACCCACCCUGUGGUU